AGAUUCAGUUCAGGGCUUUGAAGGCUAUGGAGGCCUUAGUCCUGGCUUCUCAUAUUGAUCCCCGUUAGUCCCCACUCUGCUUCCAUCCAGCCCUGGAGAGAACAGGACAGGCUGGUUCCUACCUGUGCUGUUUCCUUGGAAGAUGCUGACGGUCACUUUCUGUGGAGCAUCUGGGGUGGAAAGAGGUGGCAGCCUCAACAUCCCUGAAGAGGAAUGGGACCUGGGGGUCCUGGCCCAGCACUCACAGGAGACAUUGAGCUGGAUGGUUCUCUCCACGGUCACACCGACUCCAGGGAACGUCACCUGACAGCACCAGAGAGGAAACACAGCUGCUCAGACUGUGGAGGAACUGGAUGAGGAGGCAUCUGGAAACCGAGUCUGGAGUCUGUGUUGGGAGAAAUGGAGGCAGGAGGUGAGGAGGGCUCAGUGCUCAGCGAGGAGGCGAGGCCCCAGACAUGACCAGGGCCAAGAUGGAGAAAAAGGCCCCAGGAUGAACCCUGCUUAGAAGGAGGGACAAGAGUUAGUGAUUUGUGGGAUCUGGAGGAGGGAGGGCGGUCAAGGUGAAGACUCAUGUCCUGGUUCUGACUUUAGAGAUGUGGGCCACUAUGUCAUCAGCAGGAUGGGGAUCCCAGGAGAAGUGGGUUGGGGAAGAAGAUGGGCAGCUCAACUUAAGCCAUGCUGAGUAGAGCAAUCCUGGAGGCCAUUGAGGGGGAGGUAUCCAGCGGGAUGUUGAGGAUGAGAUGCCCACGACACCUGAGAGAUUAGCCUGUGACAGUGUCUUUAGCCUCCGUGCCUGCUGCUGUCCUUUCCUCCUGCAGAAACUGACACUGAGUGGAAAGACAAAGGCCUGCCAGUGUGGCCGGAUCGGGCUGCAGAGGGCAGCAGACUCACCUCCCCAUGCCCUGCUAAGGGGCAGGAGGGGACUGGGGUGGAGAGAGCAGGCCUAGCCCCCAGAACCUCCCUAAUGAGAGCAGGAACCCCCCCAGCCCAGACAUUCGGUGAAAGCUGAGGACAGACAACAAUUGGACCACGUGGAAUUCUCACCACAACUCAGCCUACUGCCUGGCCCUCUCGAGCCUUCAGGUCCCUCCAGCACUGGGACCUGGGAUUCAGCGUUGUGUCCCCUGUACUCCCCACAUCUCUUCUUGGUCCCUGGGGCAGCGCUCACCUGCGGAAGAGGAGGCAAAGGCAGAUAGCCAGGAUCUUCACAGCUGACUCCCCAGCAGCCACCAGGACCACCUGCAUCACAGAAGAACUUCAAUCAGGACUAUUGGGGAGGAUAAGAAGAUAAAGGAGGAGGAGUAUUCAGGAGGUGGGGACUCAAAGCCUGGAUCUGCUAUGUGAAUGGAACCCAGGCAUCUUGGCCCCAGCACUCACAGAAGACACUGAGCUGGAUGGUUCUCUCUGUGGUCACACCAACUCCAGGGAACUUCACCAGCCAGAGUCCCCAUGGGCUGGGCACCAUAUCUUAUGCCUACAAUCUCAGCACUUUGGGAGGCCGAGGCGGGCGGAUCAUGAGGUCAAGAGAUUGAGACUAUCCUGGCCAACAUGGUGAAACCUCGUCUGUACUAAAAAUACAAAAAUUAGCUGGGC